GACGAACGCUGGCGGCGUGCCUAAUACAUGCAAGUUGAGCGAUGAAGCUUGGUGCUUGCACCAAUUUGAAGAGCAGCGAACGGGUGAGUAACGCGUGGGGAAUCUGCCUUUGAGCGGGGGACAACAUUUGGAAACGAAUGCUAAUACCGCAUAACAACUUUAAACAUAAGUUUUAAGUUUGAAAGAUGCAAUUGCAUCACUCAAAGAUGAUCCCGCGUUGUAUUAGCUAGUUGGUGAGGUAAAGGCUCACCAAGGCGAUGAUACAUAGCCGACCUGAGAGGGUGAUCGGCCACAUUGGGACUGAGACACGGCCCAAACUCCUACGGGAGGCAGCAGUAGGGAAUCUUCGGCAAUGGACGAAAGUCUGACCGAGCAACGCCGUGUGAGUGAAGAAGGGUUUCGGAUCGUAAAACUCUGUUGGUAGAGAAGAACGUUGGUGAGAGUGGAAAGCUCAUCAAGUGACGGUAACUACCCAGAAAGGGACGGCUAACUACGUG
rnacentral:rRNA from 1 species